ACGUACACUCCUACGGGAGGCAGCAGUGGGGAAUAUUGCACAAUGGGCGCAAGCCUGAUGCAGCCAUGCCGCGUGUGUGAAGAAGGCCUUCGGGUUGUAAAGCACUUUCAGCGGGGAGGAAGGCGAUACGGUUAAUAACCGUGUUGAUUGACGUUACCCGCAGAAGAAGCACCGGCUAACUCCGUGCCAGCAGCCGCGGUAAUACGGAGGGUGCAAGCGUUAAUCGGAAUUACUGGGCGUAAAGCGCACGCAGGCGGUCUGUCAAGUCGGAUGUGAAAUCCCCGGGCUCAACCUGGGAACUGCAUUCGAAACUGGCAGGCUUGAGUCUUGUAGAGGGGGGUAGAAUUCCAGGUGUAGCGGUGAAAUGCGUAGAGAUCUGGAGGAAUACCGGUGGCGAAGGCGGCCCCCUGGACAAAGACUGACGCUCAGGUGCGAAAGCGUGGGGAGCAAACAGGAUUAGAAACCCCAGUAGUCCCAUG
rnacentral:rRNA from 1 species